rnacentral:lncRNA from 1 species
AGGAGAAGUGAUCCGGGGAUCUACAACAUCACAGACAUGUCUAAAUCUCAACGGUCCGAUCUGGGGCUCUAGUCUCGAGUUUUACUCACCUCACCACUUUGAACUCAUCACGGUAGCUACGCUACCGUCUUCGCUACCAACUAAAUCGGUAGUGUCGACCAUACGAAAACGAUCAGUGAGAUAGAACACGAUACCGUUCUAUCAACACGAUAUUACUAAGAAUGAUGGGAUACUAAGUGAGUGAUCUGGGUUGAGGUUAAACUGUUACAACCAAUCAAAUCCCAACUUAUUCAACAAAACAUCCGUUCCACGUGCUAGUGAAUCGUUUACACGAGUUUGAGACAAGAUGGACCAUACCCAAGUUUCUUUAAAUAAAAAAAUAACAGAAGAACAAAAAGAUAUCAUGAUUUCUUAUAUAGAAAUUAAUAGAAACAUGAACACAGGAAAAUUAGAUAGAUCUUUUACAAAGCAAGAUCUUAAUAAUUUGUGGAAAGACCUAUCAGAAAAAUUAAAUUCAUGUAUAGGAGCAAAAAAAUCAGUAAUGGAUUGGAG